GGUAAAACAGGUUUAGGUGAGGCGGCUGAGAGUGCUGCACUCAAACAGAAAAACAGAAAGAGAGAAAGAGCUGAGGCACAUUAGUUGUCUGGGUCACUUUGAUUCAGUUUUUACUGCAGAAAAGAAGAUCAAAGAAAAGGUGGACAUUUUGUUUGGAAAAACCAAGAUACAAAAAGAAGACACGUGUGGAUGUAAACAGAAGACUUUCUACAACUUCUCCUGGUCAAGCCUUAGACUGACUGAUUGGUUCUGGCCCCACCCUCCUGAGACUCUGCCAUGUCUUCAAACAUCAACAUUUCCCUGGAAAACCCGUACGGUCAGGUGACCAUCCCACGGGCGAAGCUCCGCUCUUCUGUUGACAUGGGAGCAACAGUUAUAGCCAAUCCAAUGGCUUUAAACAGCCAGAACCCAUAUGCUGAGAAGAGCUCCGCCCCCCCACCAUAUAUGGUCAAAGAGGAUGAAGGAGGGCAGGAGGAGAUUGGCUGCUGCCGUGCGUGCUGCUACCGCUGCCGCAGGAGGAAGUGACAUCAUCAUAACAGGAGKACUGUGAUUGGCUCAGUUUCAGGGUCUCUUCACCAUCAAGGGCCAAUCGUGCUUUUAAUGACCUGCAAGCAAUCCCACCCUGCAAGACCAGGACUCCAAGAACCUAUACAGGACUGAAGAGAUCCAGAACACACCUGACCUCCAAGAGCUUUACAGAACCUGGAAACUCUGAAGAACCUGAGGAACCUGAAGAACCUGAGGAACCUGUGGAACCUGAAGAACCUGAGGACUCUGGGAAAUGUGAGGAUUCUGAGGAA